CAUGUGAUCAGUCAGACAAACAGAGAAGGACAUUCUGGUCUAAUAUUUAACUCUUUCUAGCAGCCAGGAUAGGUCUUUAUCACCUUAACAGAAAUCUCUUCUGCAAUGAAGAGUUAGCCCCACAGGCAAUCAGCACUAGUAGGAAGUGUUCAUCAUCAUUCCGUCAAAGUUCAGUGGAAAGAGAACUUGACUUGGACUCAGUACAUAGGUCUGAGCUUGGCACUGACACCUACAAGCUGAGUGACCUCAGGCAAUUCGUGGAACUUCUCAAAGCUCAGCAUCUUCUGUGAGAUAGAUACAAAACUGGUCUAUCCAUUUCCAUUUGUGAAGAGAAACCGCAGCAAUUGUUUCACUUGCAGGAAGCCGUACAGGUGGCCUCCUUGUGCCAGCCUCUAAAGUGGAGUUGGGUCUACCUGUUGCUCCUGCAGCAGCCAUUACUCUGGGCAGCCUGAUCGAUGGUUCCAGAUCAGCAGGACCUUUGUCUACACUAGAGGAUCAAGACUCAUCCUAAAGGGGAGUGUAGAAGAUAUGGCUUUGGGCAGCCUGGUGGAUUCUUUAUACCAUGGAGCACAUUUUCAUCAAACUAUCUGGGAAUUCUGGAAGGUUCUUGCCUCAUCUGAUAUCCUGGAAAAUCUAUUUCAAAUAAUCUCCUAGUUGCUUGAAUUAGGAGAAUGGUGUCUGGUGUUUGCAAAAUGGAAAACAAAACACACAAACCGGCAAACUUUUCUGAGAAACACUUUAGGAUUCUGCUACCUAGAUUAUCCAAGUUAAAGGUCAAAUGUCAGUUAAGAGCAAGAGGGUGGGUAGUAGAGGAUUAAGCACAAGAUGAAAGGUCAAGCCUGAAAAGGUAGAAUUGAAGUUAAAAACUUCUUGUGCAAUAGCUAAGAGUGAUUGGCAUCUGCUGACAGUAACCUUAUCUACCUCAUCCUUGUCCUUGUCACACUGUUGUGGGGGUGGGGAGGGUGUGGAGCAGUAAUGGGUUUUUUAUCUUUACAGAGGCCUGAAGUUACUCUCUGGGUCCUACAGGAGGGCCAAGUUAUCUGUUUAUCCAGAAUCUAAGCCAGUGGACCCCAGAGCCUCCUGGAGGAAGUAAGAAUGGGAUGCCAGAAAGCAGAGCCAUAGGAAUGCUGUAGAAGUUGUUCUCACAGCCCAUCUGCCAUGAUUUAUUUAGUAUGAGCUCACAAGGGAAGGCUUCUUCUGACACAUUCUACAUGGCUUCUGGAGGAUACCACACACUCAAAAGCUGAAACCAAAAAUCUCAUCUCGGCCAUUUUAAUUUAUUCACAUAUUCAUUCUCAGUGAUCUGGUCUGACAUGUCUCACAUUUGAAGGACUUUGCAACUCAGAAAACCCUUGAUAAUUGGCCUUUAUUUUUGUGUUGUCAUCUGGUUCCAGUCUCUUUUUCCUGAUGUGACAAGGGAAUGGAUUCCUCUGAAGAGCUUGGCUUUUGACUGGAAUGGAUGGUCACAAGUCCUGGUUGAUAACUCUUGGCCGCAGCCUGACUUCGGAGUCAUCCUGUUACUGCUGUGAAAAAAGCACACAGGAGGGCCCCAGAGGGGCUGAUCAACUGCUAAAAUCUGUGCAUCGUCUACUUGUUAGAUACCCAGUAGAGAGAAGAGGCUACAGGCCACACUGGCUGGCUUCACAUCCUGGCCCUUCCACUUCUCUGCAGAGGAGCCUUGAGCAAAUUAUUGAAACUUUCUGUGCCUAUUUCCUCAUCUUCAAAAUGCAGAACAGUAUAAAUACCUACUUCAUUUGGUUACUAUGAAAGGAAAAUGAGUUAAUUCCUGUAAAAUGUGUAGAACCAUGCCUGGCCCAAAUAAGCACUAGAAUCAAUAAAUGCUAUUUUCAUCUAGAAGUCUGAGGAGUUCCUUCCGUUUCUAAAGUGUUACCUGCUUUUUAGGAUAAUCUACCCCUGAGGGAACGAGAUAGGCAAGUUUACUCUUUUAGGGCAGUAAAAGAGGAAACUUGGCCUCAGAUGCUGUGGGGAUGGCCUGGAGAGCUGACCUACAAGGACAGCUAGGAAGAAGUCCCAGGUUCUGACUUCCAGAAGCUGAGGCUGGAAUGGCGGGGCUGUGUUACAUGUCUUUGGCUUCUAAGGGGCAGUGAUACUGGUAACUUUAAAAGGCGAAAGCAAUUAUAGGUAAAGGGAGACAGCUAACUAUUUUGCCCAAAUUCCAGUUCCUCCCAAGGCUAACUUUGGCUAAACAGGGUUAAGUAACUAUGAGUUCCUUUGAAGCAGGAACUGUUGUCCUAGAUCCUACAGUGAGCUCAGUAAAGUUGGAUUAGUGAAUAAUGAGUAAACAGCCCCAGGUCCAGACUGAAUUUAUUUGCUUUCAUAAACCUGGCUUGGCUAAAUCCAAUGAUGGCCUUUCGAAUUUCAGGGAUGCAAUCACUCCCACACACUCUUCUUCCCUUGUGAUUCACGGUCUACCAGGAAAAAAAAAAAAAAAAGGACAGUUUAAAAAAUAUGUAAUACAGAGCAACUCACAACUAUGUUUUUAUAGUUCCGUUAAGGAUGCUCCACAUUUUUCUUGGGGUCAUCUAAAGGGAUUCCUCUGGUGUAUGAUUAGACAUUCAUACCAGUUUUCUUCAGCAUGUUCUUUUUGUGUAAAAUACUUUUUUUUACCUGAAUGAAAUGGCAGUAGAUUGGCAAAAAAGAAAAAAAGAAAAAUCAUUAGCAUCCUUGUUGGUAUGGAUAGAGAAGACAUGAUCUUGGGAAAAAAAAAAAAACCUUUCUAGAUUAUGUGUUUAUUGAGGCAUAUUUUUAGAUGUUCUGAAUUAUCUUUUUAUACUGAUAGAGCAUAUAAUUAGGCACUUAGCAAAAAUAAGCUCCCAAAAUAGAAUGCUUUAGUAACAGUCAAUUGUGACAAUAGGAACUUCACAAGCAAAAACAUGUGUCUUUUGAAAAUAAAAAAACAUUAAUAACAAUCACUUAAAAAAAAAAAAAAACUGUGUGUGGGAAAUAAAUAUGAAAUUUUAAAAGGACACCACAAAAUAGGAUACGUAAAUUACAUGUAAAUAAAGUUAAAGGUGGCUAAACUGUAAUUGCUCCUUUUAAAAAUAAUUACCAGUUGACCUUUUCGAAUUAUUCCGCCUCAACAUCAAAGAUUAGAUAGGAUCAGCAAACUUCCUGUGAAGGGCCAGAUAGUAAAUAGUACAGGCUUUGCCAGCCAAGAGGUCAAAUUGAGUAUAUUAUGCAGGUACAGUACUUAUAUAACAGAAGAGAAAACAAAU